rnacentral:misc_RNA from 1 species
GAUGAAGAACGUAGCGAAAUGCGAUACGUAAUGUGAAUUGCAGAAUUCAGUGAAUCAUCGAAUCUUUGAACGCACAUUGCGCCCUCUGGUAUUCCGGAGGGCAUGCCUGUUCGAGCGUCAUUUCGACCCUCAAGCAUUGCUUGGUGUUGGGGCACCGCCUGUAAAAGGGCGGGCCCUGAAAUCUAGUGGCGAGCUCGCCAGGACCCCGAGCGUAGUAAUUAUAUUUCGUUCUGGAAGGCCCUGGCGGUGCCCUGCCGUUAAACCCCCAACUUCUGAAAAUUUGACCUCGGAUCAGGUAGGAAUACCCGCUGAACUUAAGCAUAUCAAUAAGCGGAGGA